rnacentral:tRNA from 1 species
UCUCUGGUGAUCUAGUGGUCAAGACUCUGCACUUCCACUGCAGGGGAUGCAGGUUAGAUCCCUGGUCUGGGAA